CUGAUUAAAAUUUAUACAUCUCAUUUAGGCCUGUGCAUGUAUCUCUGCUUGUUAAAGGAAGCAAGAGGAGCCCUUGCAGUAAUUUUCAGAACAUUUCUGGUGACAUAAGUUACCAGAAGACUGGGAAACUGUUAAUGUUCUCCCACUUUUAAAAAAGAGGAGGGAUAGACCAAGAAAUAUCAAACCUGUCAGUGAGUCCUUGGUAGGUGGGGACAUUAGAAAGGACAGAAUAUAUUUGCACUUGGUGAGCAACGUGGAUUAAUCAGCAAACAUGGCCAUGGGUUUGUUAAGAAAACGUUAUAUUUGAAAAAUUUGAAUUUUAUUAAGGAGUGUUGAUGUUGGUAAUGUUUGUGGUCCAUGUAGACUUCAGUUGGGUUUUCUGCAAGGACCCUCAUGGUAGACUAGUCAAGAAGGUAAGAGGCUAUGGGAUCCAAUGCAAAGUGAGCAUUGUAUCCAAAAUUAGCUGAGAGGUAGGAAGCAGAGGGUGAUUAUAGAAGGAUGCUUGUGUGACUGGAAACCUGUUUACAAUGGAUCUCUGCAGGACCCUGUGCUGGUCCCCUUGCUGCUUAUAGGUCACAUUAUACAUUUAAAUCCAAAUUGUUAUUGUGCAUUCCAUAAAGACUGGUAGGGUAAUAGGAAGAGAAUAGUGAACAGGAUGAUAUUGGCAAACUGGUUAUGUGGGCAGAGCAGUGACAAAUGGAAUUCAACCUGGAGAAAUGUGAGCUAAUGUUCUUGAAAGGACUGACGUGGCAAGGGAAUUUCAGUUGAAUUAUAGAACUUUGGAAAAUAUUGCAUAUCAGAAGAACUUUGUACACCAGUAGAUUCACGAAGGCGGCAGAGCAGGUAGAUGAGUAAUUAAGAAAGAUUUAGAGGAUAUCUACCUUUGUUAAAUGAGGCAUAGAAUAAAAGAGUAAGGAAGUUAUGCUGGUUAGACCACAAGUGAGGUGCUGCAUGCCGCGUUUUUGGAAGGAUGUGAUUGCAAUAGAGGAGAGGCAGAAGAGAUUUACCAGGAUGUCGUAGGGCCUGAGCUAAUAGGAAAGAUCAGAUAGACCCAGGGUUUGUUUUCCUUGGAGCACCAAAGGUUGAGAGGGGACCUAAAAGAGACGUAUAAGAUUUAGGGGCAUAGAUAGAAGGGACGGGAAGUUGCUGUUUCCGUUAGUAGAGGGUUCAGUAACCAGAGGGCAUUGAAGGCUAAACGGGUAAUUGAGAAUCUUUUCACUGGGAAUCUGGAACUCCCUGCCUGAAAGGGUGGUUAAUUCAGAAACCCUUUAAACAUUUAAGCAGUGUUUAGUUAUUCAUGGGGAGGCAACGGCCUAGUGGUAUUAUCGCUGUACUGUUAGACCAGAAACCCAGGUAAUGGUCUUGGGUUUGAAUCCUGCAACGGCAAUCUGGACUUGAGUCCAAUGAUGGUGAAUCCAUUGUCGAUUGUCAGGUAAAACCCAUCUGGUUCACUAAUGUCCUGUAUGGAAGGAAACUGCCAUCCUUGUCUGGUCUGGCCUACAUGUGACUCCACACCCACUGCAAUGUGGUUGACUCUGAACUGCCCUCUGGGCAAUUAUAAAUGGGCAAUAAAUGCUGUUCUAGCCAGUAAUGCCUUCGUCCUGGGAAUGGAAUAAAAGAAGUCUUGUAUUUAUCGCCUACAGUUCUGUGGGCUAACAGCUGAAAAAUGGGAUCCGUGUAGUCAGAUCUUUGAGCGGUUCAGACUUGACAAGACAAAUGGCCUCCUACUGUGCUGUAAGCACCUGAGCACUUUUUGUAAGAGGAGUGGGGUCAACCAGGAUAGCUGAAGCAUUAAUUUCUUGUGUGUGAAGACGCAAUACUUGGAUGAUCUGCAAUUUGCAUAACUAGGUAAAAAUCAGCAUCCUGCAUUCAGUUUUUUCAAACAUUUUCAGGAAUCUAUUUACAACUUUAUAUUUUUCCUAGUUACAGACAUAAUAAUUCCUGGAAAAUCAGGAUUAAUGUUGCAUCAUUUUUACAUAAGGACAAUGCCACAGAAAAGGCUGAAAAGGAGGUAAGGUCCAAUCUGGGAACCAGAAUGGUGUCAAAAUUAGUCGCCAUGACUGGAAUAGAAUAUUGCACAUUAGAAUCACUUUUUUUCUCCCAGUCCUAGCUGAUUAUUUGUACUAAAAGCAGACUUUGGGAGAAUGGAUCUGAAGCUUCGCACUCCACCUCUUCGGGAUGAGACGGUACAAUGAGAACAGUUCUACAGGGAAUGUUUGGCAUCUAACAAGGGGGGAUGUGCAAUGAGAAACUUCCUCCUCGGAACUUGUUUGUUCGCUGCUUCAAGCUGUGCCCCUUUCUAAUCAGAAAAAUCUAAAAUCAAGAUAUAAAAUUUCAUAAAGGAUUUUUUAAAAAAAUCUAAACGUCCCACUUUGAUCAGAAAAGCAGAUUUUAUUACUUUCUCCCAAUUACUACAUGUGGUGUAACAACCUCAGUUUAAUUAGAUACUUUAAUGUUUUUGUUUAAUCUCUUUUCAAAUAACUUGACAGUAAAAGUUCAUGAAUUAAGAUUUGUGAACUUUAAAUAAAUUCAGUGUUUACCAAGAAAAUGAUCUCAUGUUAAAAAUUAAUUUCUGCAGCCAUUUUAGGAUGUUGAUCUUUUGGGAGAAUAAAAGCUGGAAAGUUUUAUUUCAAUGCACCAAAGCUUGCUGCAUAGAAGAUCUUAGAGACGAGAUUAACCAAGUGAUUGCAUUGUUGAUAAUCUUCAUGCUUGCGUGUAUAUCACGUGAAAGAAAGCCUGUAUUUUUACUUGGAUGAAGAUGGGAAAAUUCUAGAUUAUUCUGUAACAUCCUAGUCUUAGGUUCAGAAGGCAUAAAGAGUUGCAUAUAGAUAAUAGUAAAUUGCUUGUAAAUAUUUCUGCAGAUUUGUAAUAUAUUUUUAUACUUUAAAAUGUACUGUAGAUUUCAAUUUUGGUUUACCUUUUAGAAGCAUGGAAGCAAAUUUUGAAAUGUAUAUAUUAAGGUAGAACAAAUGUUGAAGGAUAAUGUAAUUUUCUUGAUCUGCCAUAAUAACUGUUAACAAAAACCCCACAAAAAGCACCUUGCCUAAUUAUAAAUAUAAAGUGACAUUUGUGGUUUUCUGCAAAUGCCAAUUACUACUGCUAAUGUCUUAAUGUAUUGUGCAAGAUGUAAACAGCAUGACUUGGAUUGUGUCUUUAAACUUAGAUUUUCUGGACAGACAGGCUUUUUAAAAAAGCCUGUAGUACCCUUGUUUCGCACAGUUGUAAACCCUUCAUGCAAUGUAUCCUUACCUGAGCACUUCAUCUGUAUCCACUGCUUCUUCCCAUCCAAAUCAACUUGCUACUGCUUUUUCAGCUACAUUUUUAUAAUAAAGUAUAAAAUGAAA